UACGAAGGGUGCAAGCGUUAAUCGGAAUUACUGGGCGUAAAGGGUGCGUAGGCGGUUCGUUAAGUCUGUCGUGAAAUCCCCAGGCUCAACCUGGGAAUGGCGAUGGAUACUGGACAGCUAGAGUGUGUCAGAGGAUGGUGGAAUUCCCGGUGUAGCGGUGAAAUGCGUAGAGAUCGGGAGGAACAUCAGUGGCGAAGGCGGCCAUCUGGGACAACACUGACGCUGAAGCACGAAAGCGUGGGGAGCAAACAGG
rnacentral:rRNA from 1 species